GUUCCUCUUCUCGCCUACGGCGUCUUUGAAGGGGGGGUAAUGUCAGGAUCGCCAUUGUGCUUUACACAAUAUUGUGUAUUUGGGUCUGGCUGGGAUCAAACCUGAGUUUCCUGCAUCCCAGUCGGUAUCCUUGCAUUGAGCUCCACGCAUCUUUGACUGUUUCUGGUUGUUCUUGGUAUCCUGUAGUCUGAGCCUGUUCACCUGGAAUGUGCACACCUGUUCCUGGUUCCUUGAUGAUUGGCUGAGACUCCCUAUUUAAACCCCGCAAGGCUGGUUCUCGUUGUCAGAUCGUGUUUCCUGUUCCUGUUUGGUUUCACUGCUGUUCAUCUGACUCCUGCUUUUGAUCUCCUGCUCGUCUACUGUUUUCGCCUGAUUGCUGC